GGAGAGUUUGAUCCUGGCUCAGAACGAACGCUGGCGGCGUGCCUAACACAUGCAAGUCGCACGAGAAAUCCUGCUUCGGCGGGAGAGUAAAGUGGCGCACGGGUGAGUAACACUUGGGUAACCUACCCCUGAAACCGGGAUAACCCUGCGAAAGUGGGGCUAAUACUGGAUAUUGUCCCUUUGGCGGUGGUCGAAGGGAUGAAAGGUGACCUCUUCAUCGAAAGUUGCCGUUCAGGGAUGGGCCCGCGGACCAUUAGCUAGUUGGUAGGGUAAUGGCCUACCAAGGCUAUGAUGGUUAGCUGGUCUGAGAGGACGAUCAGCCACACUGGCACUGAAACACGGGCCAGACUCCUACGGGAGGCAGCAGUGAGGAAUCUUGCGCAAUGGGGGAAACCCUGACGCAGCAACGCCGCGUGGGUGAAGAAGGCCUUCGGGUUGUAAAGCCCUGUCAGGUGGGAAAAAAGA
rnacentral:rRNA from 1 species